rnacentral:rRNA from 1 species
UACGAAGGGGGCUAGCGUUGUUCGGAUUAACUGGGCGUAAAGGGUGCGUAGGCGGGUUUUUAAGUCAGGGGUGAAAUCCCGAGGCUCAACCUCGGAACUGCCUUUGAUACUGGAAAUCUUGAGUCUGGGAGAGGUGAGUGGAACUGCGAGUGUAGAGGUGAAAUUCGUAGAUAUUCGGAAGAACACCAGUGGCGAAGGCGACUCGCUGGACAAGUAUUGACGCUGAGGUGCGAAAGCGUGGGGAGCAAACAGG